rnacentral:lncRNA from 1 species
UGCUGGCCAGGGAUAUAUUCACCAAGGGCUACGGCUUUGGCUUAACAAAACUUGAUUUGAAAGCAAAGUCCGAGAAUGGAUUGAAAUUUACCAGCUCAGGCUCUGCCAACACAGAGACCACCAGAGUGAACGGCAGUCUGGAAACCAAGGACAGAUGAAUUAAGUAUGGCUAGCAUGUUAGACGGACCGAGUAUGGGCUAGCAUUUACGGAGAACUGGAACACAGACAGCACCCUGGGCACUGAGAUCACUGUGCAAGACUAGCUUGCUCGUGGACUGAAGCUGACCUUCGAUUCAUUUUUCUCACGUAACACUGGUGGGGGGGGGGGGGGAUGCUCAAAUCAAGACAGGGUACAAGAAGGAGCACAUCAACCUGGGCUGUGGCAUGGACUUUGACAUCAUUGGGCCCUCAAUCUGGGGCGCUCUGUUGCUUGACUAUGAGGGUUGGCUGGCUGGUUACCAGAUUAAUUUUGAGACCUCAAAGUCCCGAGUGGCCCAGAGCAACUUCACAGUUGGCUACAAGACAGACGAAUUCCAGCUUAGGCUACACGCAGAUCCUAAAACCAGGUAUCAGACUGACACUUUCAGCCCUGCUGGAUGGCAAGAAUGCCAGUGCAGGUGGCCACAAGCUUGGUGUAGGACUGGAAUUUCAA